CCCGGUUAGCUCAGACGGUAGAGCGCGGGACUUUUAAUCCUGAGGUCGAGGGUUCAACUAAAGUAAUUACCAUAACUGGU
rnacentral:tRNA from 1 species